CGGGGGGCGGGGCAGCGGGAGGAGCCUGCGUGAGCCGUGCGCCGGGCGGAGAACAGCGCUGCGCGGGGCUGCGUGCGGGUCCGGCGCUACGGCCCGAGGACACCGACCGCAUCAGCAAAUGACCCCUGUGUUCUGACGCGUUCGAAUUAGCUUUUCUUCCACCAGAAACGUUUUAAUUGAAUAAUCACGUGGGAGACGAUGUUCCGUUGUUUUACUUUGCUCCUGGUGCGUGCACGUCGGGCUGCAGCGCCUGCAUCUGCACGUGUCCUCUCACGGCCGCGACGGCCGCUGGUCUCAGGGACGGGCAUUGGAACCUCGCUGUGCUGCUGUGGGCACAUCUCGGCUCCGAGACGUCCUGAGAUCUGACACCGACUUCAUGCAAAUUCCACAAGAAAACAGUGUUGAGGUUCACGGCAGCUGCAGACGUACAGCUCACGACCUCACCCGUCAGCGGGUUUGCAACGUAAGGCUGCUCUCAUUUCAACAGCGAGAGCAAUUCAGGGCAUUUUAAACGCAGCAGAGUGCCUCAUUUCGGAGCCCGCCCUGCCCUAAUUGAAUGCCAAGCCCUUGAUGUAACUUACUGAUAGCACAACGUGUAAUGCUAUCUGGGAAGGUACGGCACCGUAUCAUUAAGGACUUGUCAGAGCACUCCUCUGUGACGGCGGUACACGUAAGGUGAGCUGCGAAUUCGUCAGUGGCGGAAUAAGAAGCUUUAUAACCAACCCUUCCGUUCCUUUCCUGCCUCAGCCACAGGCACUGCCUCCAACACCCCGCGAGCGUCCGAAACACAGCGACACAAAGCCUCAUCUCCACAGCCUGUUGGCAUCUCCAGGACACUCAUGGGAUGAGCAGCCCGCCGCCAGGGAACGCAAAAGGCACUCACACAGAAAAUAUAUUUACUUAAAUAAAACAGAACUCCUCCUGUCCACAAGAUGGGAUGCAUUACCACGUCACUGCCUCGUGUUUCUUGAUGCUGCGCUGUUAGCGCUGCCAAAUUGCCGGAGCUGCUGUUCUGUGUGGGAGGUGUUAAAACCUUUUUUUAGACAGAGAUAAUUGGAUCAUCUGAAGGAUGUUGAUGGUUUUAUUCUCAGUCGAUUUUCUUAAAUAUUUUUGCUAACGUUAUUGGUGCGGAAGGAAUACUGUCUAGCAGACUGAGCAAGCUGCCAGAGGGUGCGAGAGGUCUUCAGCAUAGCUGUGAAUAAAGCCCCAAAAGAUUUACUACUUCCUUACUACGAAACAGAGCCGAGCAUCGGCCACACGGCUGAGAGCAGAGCGCAGCCUUCACUGCAGGUAGGAGAGACCAAGUAGUGCUCCUGUGUAACCAAAGGCAUCCUCCUCUGUUCACUACUGUUCCAAUACUACAGCUCACCAAAUGAUUUUAUACAGCUCCCAAGGAAAAGCAGGUUUAAAACGGAGCCGACGGGAAUAUAAUUUCCUAAUAUAAUUAGGAAAUAUUUCAGAACCAAACUUGCAUUGCCACCGAUGUCCUGGGAAGUGCAGCCGUGGUUUCGUUCUGUUGCCUGGGGAGCACCACAGGAGUUGCACAGCCCUGCUGGGGAUGGCACUGCCUGCUCUGCCUUCAGACGGCUGCAGUGUGAAGAGGUCGUGACACGAAGACAUGAAGGUGGACCACAGUGUUAAAUAAAUCUUAUUAGAAUUAUUUAAAA